GUAGGGAAUCUUGCGCAAUGGGCGAAAGCCUGACGCAGCCAUGCCGCGUGAAUGAUGAAGGUCUUAGGAUUGUAAAAUUCUUUCACCGGGGACGAUAAUGACGGUACCCGGAGAAGAAGCCCCGGCUAACUUCGUGCCAGCAGCCGCGGUAAUACGAAGGGGGCUAGCGUUGCUCGGAAUUACUGGGCGUAAAGGGAGCGUAGGCGGAUAGUUUAGUCAGAGGUGAAAGCCCAGGGCUCAACCUUGGAAUUGCCUGUGAUACUGGCUAUCUUGAGUAUGGAAGAGGUAUGUGGAACUCCGAGUGUAGAGGUGAAAUUCGUAGAUAUUCGGAAGAACACCAGUGGCGAAGGCGACAUACUGGUCCAUUACUGACGCUGAGGCUCGAAAGCGUGGGGAGCAAACAGGAUUAGAUACCCGGGUAGUCC
rnacentral:rRNA from 1 species